UCUGGCUCAGGAUGAACGCUAGCUACAGGCUUAACACAUGCAAGUCGAGGGGCAGCAUUGGAGUAGCAAUACUCAGAUGGCGACCGGCGCACGGGUGAGUAACACGUAUCCAACCUGCCGCUUACUCGGGGAUAGCCUUUCGAAAGAAAGAUUAAUACCCGAUGGUAUAAAGAGUUCGCAUGUUCUCUUUAUUAAAGAAUUUCGGUAAGCGAUGGGGAUGCGUUCCAUUAGAUUGUUGGCGGGGUAACGGCCCACCAAGUCUACGAUGGAUAGGGGUUCUGAGAGGAAGGUCCCCCACAUUGGAACUGAGACACGGUCCAAACUCCUACGGGAGGCAGCAGUGAGGAAUAUUGGUCAAUGGACGAGAGUCUGAACCAGCCAAGUAGCGUGAAGGAUGACUGCCCUAUGGGUUGUAAACUUCUUUUAUAAGGGAAUAAAGUGAGGGACGUGUCCCUUUUUGUAUGUACCUUAUGAAUAAGGAUCGGCUAACUCCGUGCCAGCAGCUGC
rnacentral:rRNA from 1 species